CACAUCACACUUAUUCUAAAAUUGACCACAUAAUUGGAAGUAAAAACAUUCCUCAGCAAAUGCAAAAGAAUGAAAAUCAUAACAAACAGUCUCUCAGACCACAGUACAAUCAAAUUAGAACUCAGGAUUAAGAAACUCACUCAAAACCACAUAACUACAUGGAAACUGAGCCACCUGCUCCUGAAUAACUACUGGGUAAAUAACGAAAUUAAGGCAGAAAUAAAUAAGUUCUUUGAAACCAAUGAGAACAAAUAUGCAACAUACCAGAAUCUCUGGGACACAGCUAAAGCAGCGUUUAGAGGGAAAUUUGUAGCACUAAAUGCUCACAGGAGAAAAUGAGAAAGAUCUAAAAUUGACACCCUAACAUUGCAAUUAAAAGAACCAGAGAAGCAAGAGCAAACAAAUUCAAAAGCUAGCAGAAGACAAGAUAUAACUAAGAUUAGAGCAGAACUGAAGGAGAUAGAGAAAUGAAAAACCCUUCAAAAAAUCAAUGAACCCAAGAGCUGGUUUUUUGAAAAGAUAAAAAGAUAGACCACUAGUCAGACUAAUAAAGAAGAAAAGACAGAAGAAUCGAAUAGAUACAAUAAAAAAAUGAUAAAGGGGAUAUCGCCGCUGAUCCCACAGAAUUAUAAACUACCAUCAGAGAAUACUAUAAACACCUCUACACAAAUAAACUAGAAAAUCUAGAAGAAAUAGAUAAAUUCCUUGACACAUACACCCUCCCAAGACUAAACCAGGAAGAAGUCGAAUCCCUGAAUAGACAAAUAACAAGUUCUGAAAUUGAGGCAGUCAUUAAUAGCCUAUCAACAAAAACAAGCCCAGGACCAGAUGGAUUCACACCCAAAUUCUACCAGAGGUACAAAGAGGAGCUGCUACCAUUCCUUCUGAAACUACUCCAAACAAUAGAAAAAGAGGGACUCCUCCCCAACUCAUUUGAUGAGGCCAGCAUCAUCCUGAAAACAAAAAAAAAAGAAAAGAAAAUUUCAAGCCGAUAGCUCUGAUGAACAUCAGUGCGAAAAUCCUCAAUAAAAUACUGGCAAACUGAAUCCAGCAGCACAUCAAAAAGCUUCUCCACCACGAUCAACUUGGCUUCAUCCCUGGGAUGUAAGGCUGGUUCAACAUAUGCAAAUCAAUCAACAUAAUCCAUCACAUAAACAGAACCAAAAGCAAAAACCACAUGAUUAUCUCAAUAGAUGCAGAAAAGGCCUUUGACAAAAUUCAACAGUCCUUAAUGCUAAAAAUCUCAAUAAACUGGUAUUGAUGGAACUUAUCUCAAAAUAAUAAGAGCUAUUUAUGACAAACCCACAGCCAAUAUCAUAUUAAAUGGAAAAAAAACCUGGAAGCAUUCUCUUUGACAACCGGCACAAGACAAGGAUGCCCUCUCUCACCACUCCUAUUCAACAUAGUAUUGGAAGUUCUGGCCAGGGCAGUCAGGCAAGAGAAAGAAAUAAAGUGUAUUCAAAUAGGAAGAGAGGAAGUCAAAUUGUCUCUAUUUGCAGAUGACAUGAUUGUAUAUUUAGAAAACCCCAUCGUCUCAGUCAAAAAUUUCCUUAAGCUAAUAAGCAACUUCAACAAAGUCUCAGGAUACAAAAUCAAUGUGCAAAACUCACAAGCAUUUCUAUACACCAGUAACAGACAAACAGAGAGCCAAGUCAUGAGUGAACUCCCAUUCACAACUGCUACUAAGAGAAUAAAAUACCUAGGAAUCCAACUUAGAAGGGAUGUGAAGGACCUCUUCAAGGAGAACUAUAAAUCACUGUUCAAGGAAAUAAGAGAGGACACAAACAAAUGGAAAAACAUUCCAUGCUCAUGGAUAGAAAGAAUCAAUAUUGUGAAAAUGGCCAUACUGCUCAAAGUAAUUUGUAGAUUC
rnacentral:lncRNA from 10 species